rnacentral:rRNA from 1 species
UACGUAGGUGGCAAGCGUUGUCCGGAUUUACUGGGUGUAAAGGGCGUGUAGGCGGAGCUGCAAGUCAGAUGUGAAAUCCCGGGGCUCAACCCCGGAACUGCAUUUGAAACUGUAGCCCUUGAGUAUCGGAGAGGCAGGCGGAAUUCCUAGUGUAGCGGUGAAAUGCGUAGAUAUUAGGAGGAACACCAGUGGCGAAGGCGGCCUGCUGGACGACAACUGACGCUGAGGCGCGAAAGCGUGGGAAGCAAACAGG